UACGUAGGGUGCGAGCGUUGUCCGGAAUUAUUGGGCGUAAAGAGCUCGUAGGCGGUGUGUCGCGUCGGCCGUGAAAACCUGCAGCUUAACUGUGGGCGUGCGGGCGAUACGGGCAGACUGGAGUACUGCAGGGGAGACUGGAAUUCCUGGUGUAGCGGUGGAAUGCGCAGAUAUCAGGAGGAACACCGGUGGCGAAGGCGGGUCUCUGGGCAGUAACUGACGCUGAGGAGCGAAAGCGUGGGGAGCGAACAGG
rnacentral:rRNA from 1 species